AACGUAGGAGACAACCGUUAUCCGGAGUUACUGGGCGUAAAGGGCGCGUAGGCGGCCACCGCAAGUCGACUGUGAAAUCUCCGGGCUUAACCCGGAAAGGUCAGCCGAUACUGCGGGGCUAGAGUGCAGAAGGGGCAACUGGAAUUCUCGGUGUAGCGGUGAAAUGCGUAGAUAUCGAGAGGAACACCUGCGGCGAAGGCGGGUUGCUGGGCUGACACUGACGCUGAGGCGCGAAAGCUAGGGGAGCGAACGGG
rnacentral:rRNA from 1 species